GGAAACGCAUGGUGUGAAUGUGUAUAGCUGACGCUUGACAGUUUGUUUUCGCCUGGUUCAAUGGGAUCACUAACACAAUGUUCUAUAAAGAGGAAUCGCAACGCUCAAACUUAUAACCUCUACCUCAAUUUGACCGAAGCUAUUUUUCAUUUUACUAUAUAAUAUGAAAGAUAAAGGUCGGUGGUUCCGACCAUGCCUUUCUCAUGUGACUUUUGACUGAACCGCAUAAUUCGUCUCACAACUCACACCCGCGGUUUUCUUCCUCUUCCGUCAUCCGUGGGCUGUUAAAAGUCUCCUGGCUCUUCUACUCAAUCAGGAUCUGUGAAGCCCUGAUUAUUCUCCAUGUCUGUUCAUUGCUUCCAUUAACAGGCCUUUAGGUGCAUAUCAAAGGAACUUGCUGUCUGAGAAGCUGGAGUGGUCAUGGGUCGGGACACAAGGAAAUGCAACACAAGACUAAGAGCUUACAUGUGAUUUUAUAAACACUUAUUGAGUUGAAUAUGCUUCCACUGUAAACUGGGAAAUAAUGUAAACUGUUGUUAAUAAAUGAAAGUUUAUU
rnacentral:lncRNA from 1 species